rnacentral:misc_RNA from 1 species
GAUGAAGAACGUAGUGAAAUGCGAUAAGUAGUGUGAAUUGCAGAAUUCAGUGAAUCAUCGAAUCUUUGAACGCACAUUGCGCCCUUUGGUAUUCCAAAGGGCAUGCCUGUUCGAGCGUCAUUUGUACCCUCAAGCUUUGCUGGGUGUUGGGCGUCUUGUCUCUAGCUUUGCUGGAGACUCGCCUUAAAGUAAUUGGCAGCCGGCCUACUGGUUUCGGAGCGCAGCACAAGUCGCACUCUCUAUCAGCAAAGGUCUAGCAUCCAUUAAGCCUUUUUUUCAACUUUUGACCUCGGAUCAGGUAGGGAUACCCGCUGAACUUAAGCAUAUCAAUAAGCGGAGGA